CAGUAGCCACGGGAACACGGAGGGUGCAAGCGUUAAUCGGAAUUACUGGGCGUAAAGCGCACGCAGGCGGUCUGACAAGUCAGAUGUGAAAUCCCCGGGCUUAACCUGGGAACUGCAUUUGAAACUGUCAGGCUGGAGUCUUGUAGAGGGGGGUAGAAUUCCAGGUGUAGCGGUGAAAUGCGUAGAGAUCUGGAGGAAUACCGGUGGCGAAGGCGGCCCCCUGGACAAAGACUGACGCUCAGGUGCGAAAGCGUGGGGAGCAAACAGGAUUAGAUACCCGAGUAGUCCCUGUCUCUUAUAC
rnacentral:rRNA from 1 species